rnacentral:sRNA from 1 species
AUAAAAACGAUAAGGGUGACCGCAAGGUCACCCAUUUUAUUUGUAUUGUUUAACAUUAUUUGGUUUGGCCGCCGACAAGUUGAACAAGCAACACUGGUGUUACGUAUAGCUGGCUGUUAUCAGGAUUCCUUACUAUCACGACUAACAGUUCUUGUAACCGACGCCCGAGCAUUCGCUCGGGCUUCUUCUU